rnacentral:rRNA from 1 species
AGCAGCCGCCGCGGUAAUACGUAGGUGGCAAGCGUUGUCCGGAAUUAUUGGGCGUAAAGGGCUCGCAGGCGGUUUCUUAGGUCUGAUGUGAAAGCCCCCGGCUCAACCGGGGAGGGUCAUUGGAAACUGGGAAACUUGAGUGCAGAAGAGGAGAGUGGAAUUCCACGUGUAGCGGUGAAAUGCGUUGAGAUUGGAAAGAACACCAACGGUGAAAGCACUCUGCUGGGCCGACACUGACACUGAGAGACGAAAGCUAGGGGAGCAAAUGGGAUUAGAUACCCCAGUAGUCCCUGUCUCUUAUAA